ACAUCGCCUCUUGCAAAAUCAACAAAUAAGAGGUCCCGCCUGCCCUGUGACUAUAUGUUUAACGGCCGCGGUAUUUUGACCGUGCGAAGGUAGCGCAAUCACUUGUCUUUUAAAUGGAGACCUGUAUGAAUGGCACGACGAGGGCUUAACUGUCUCCUUUCCCAAGUCAAUGAAAUUGAUCUCUCCGUGCAGAAGCGGAGAUAGACCCAUAAGACGAGAAGACCCUAUGGAGCUUCAGACACUAAAACAGCUCAUGUUAAAAACCCUCACAAAAGAGACUAAACUAGAUGAUCCCUGUCCUAAUGUCUUUGGUUGGGGCGACCACGGGGUAACAAAAAACCCCCGCGCGGAACAGAGACACUGUUUCCAGAACCAAGAGCACCCGCUCUAAGUAACAAGACCCACUUGACCCUCGAGAUCCGGCACUAAGCCGAUCAACGGACCGAGUUACCCUAGGGAUAACAGCGCAAUCUUCUUCGAGAGUUCAUAUCGACGAGAAGGUUUACGACCUCGAUGUUGGAUCAGGACAUCCUAAUGGUGCAGCCGCUAUUAAGGGUUCGUUUGUUCAACGAUUAAAGUCCUACG
rnacentral:rRNA from 1 species